rnacentral:tRNA from 1 species
GUAAUUUUAGUUUAAUAAAAAUAUUUAGUUUCGGCCUAAAAGAUCUCAAAUUUAGAAAUUAUU